rnacentral:rRNA from 1 species
CAUGCAAGUCGAACGAUGAAGUCUAGCUUGCUAGACGGAUUAGUGGCGAACGGGUGAGUAAUGCUUAGGAAUCUGCCUAUUAGUGGGGGAUAACGUAGGGAAACUUACGCUAAUACCGCAUACGUCUUACGAGAGAAAGGGGGCUUUUAGCUCUCGCUAAUAGAUGAGUCUAAGUCGGAUUAGCUAGUUGGUGGGGUAAAGGCCUACCAAGGCGACGAUCUGUAGCUGGUCUGAGAGGAUGAUCAGCCACACUGGGACUGAGACACGGCCCAGACUCCUACGGGAGGCAGCAGUGGGGAAUAUUGGACAAUGGGCGAAAGCCUGAUCCAGCCAUGCCGCGUGUGUGAAGAAGGCCUUUUGGUUGUAAAGCACUUUAAGUGGGGAGGAAAAGCUUGUGGUUAAUACCCACAAGCCCUGACGUUACCCACAGAAUAAGCACCGGCUAA